UACGAAGGGGGCUAGCGUUGUUCGGAAUUAUUGGGCGUAAAGGGCGCGUAGGCGGCCGUGCAAGUGGAAGGUGAAAUCCCUCGGCUCAACCGAGGAACUGCCUUUCAAACUGCAUGGCUUGAGUCCGGGAGAGGUGAGUGGAAUUCCCAGUGUAGCGGUGAAAUGCGUAGAUAUUGGGAGGAACACCAGUGGCGAAGGCGGCUCACUGGACCGGAACUGACGCUGAGGCGCGAAAGCGUGGGGAGCAAACGGG
rnacentral:rRNA from 1 species